rnacentral:rRNA from 1 species
GACGAACGCUGGCGGCGUGCCUAACACAUGCAAGUCGAACGGGGUAUUUCUUCGGAGAUACUUAGUGGCGAACGGGUGAGUAACGCGUGAGAAACCUGCCUUUCAGUGGGGACGAACAGUUGGAAACGACUGCUAAUACCGCAUAAUGUCAUUUGGGGCGAUCCCUGAAUGACCAAAGAUUUAUUGCUGAAAGAUGGUCUCGCGUCUGAUUAGCUAGAUGGCGGGGUAACGGCCCACCAUGGCGACGAUCAGUAGCCGGUCUGAGAGGAUGAACGGCCACAUUGGGACUGAGAUACGGCCCAG